UUUACUGCUAACUCAUUUCUGUUCUUCAAACCAAAGCGACAGUCUUUUAUAAGAAUUUGGCUUUGGGUGUUAUCUUUCAAGAAAACAGUAUUCCAAACUUCAAUACAGUGAAUAGAGUCAAACAGACACCAUGAGAAUAAUAUGGGAGAUUUUGGAAAUAGAGUAAAGAUAAACUCUCUGCCGAGAUGUGAGAUGCAAUGAAAGAAAAGGAAAUGAUGAGGUGAAUAGGAACAACACUGGUGCAGGAUUUCUCUCAGCGUCUCUUAAAAAAAAAAUGACAACGACAACUAAACCAGACUUUUUCUUUUUCUUUUGGGGUCCAUGAAAGCUAUUUAACAAUUUAAGUCUAUUCAUAUGUUUAAAGCUGGAAGAGACCUCAGAUAUUUCAAGAUGAGAAAGCCCAGGGAGGUAGUGUGACUUACAGAGGAUCACAGUGUCCCUUUCUCCUGGCUGGUAGCCAUUUCUUGGUAGCUAAAUUUUCAUUUUUAAGAGGAAAAUUCCAUUAAAACAAAACAAAACAUUGUCCCAAUUUUUUGAAUUCUGUUUUUGAUGGUGGUAUUGACUUUUGAACAUGCACCAGAAAAUGAGCACUUUGAUUGGAUGCCAGGAAUGUUAACUUGGAACUAAGCAGAAUGCUGAGAUUCUGAUUCCGUGUUGCUUGAGGACUGGCACUUGUGACAUCUCUAGCUCAGACACAGGGUCAUGGAGGAGACAAGAUCUAACCAGGAGAAAAGAACAAAGAACCUCAUCUAAAAAAAAAAAAGAAAAUGUCCAUUUCAUCAUUUUUUCCAGGCUAACCUCUAGGUCUAUUUGAUGCAUUUCCUUGGCCCGUCCAUCUGUGUUCCCUGUCUGGGGUAUGUUUUCAGGCCUCUGAGGAUACAUUUCACCCUGGAAGUGGACACAAGCAAUCAGAGUUCAAGUCAAAUCAGUCAACCGACGUUGAUUGACCACCUACUAUGUUCCCAGAUGUGGUGGGUUCUGAGGAUGCAGGGAUGAAGAAGACACAAUCCCUGCUUCAAGGACUUGCACACAGUUGAUGGACAGGGAAGGAGGCCACUGAGUGAAAGGGGAGAGUGCAGAUCCAUUCUACAUAUACCCACCUCUGCUUUGGAAGCAGAACUGAAGCGUGCUGCUGUGAAUUUUAUAAACAAUUCGCCAAGGUGUACACGGUUGUCACCUAUGGACCUUGUGCUGACAUAAAUUGGGGCUCUACACGUGGCAUCUUUCACUUCAGUGUAGUGUGAAAUAUGCCCUGUUGGGACAUUGAUGGAAUACAGUACCUGAUUUUAACUAAACUAACUCUCAGAAAAUAAACACUUGGCUUUAAAAGUUUCCUGCCAAGAAAUAGCAGUUGGAAGAUUUAUGCGGACAGACAAUGUGGAAAUGGCCCAGCUGACCAUGAGCCCAGCACGUAAAUGGGCUCUGGGUCAGCCAUGCUGCGAGGUGCAGCAGUGGUGAUCUGAUCACUUUUGACGAGACGUCAGCCAAAUGAAAAACAUGGAAACGAUGAUUCUUUGAAAUACAUGUUUACAUCCACUGUCAUUAACCUGCCUCAAAUGUUAGGCUGCAUGUGAGUAGGAAGUCACCAUGAGUAGCAGAAUGUCCAAAAAGUAAGCAUUCAGAAUGAAGACCAAACUUCUAAAAUAGCGUUGGCAUUAUUUUAGGUUGGGUGUCGCCCAAUCCACUAUUUUUUUUAAAUGUCAGUGUACAACAAUUAAGAAGCAUCUUUAAGGAUUUCUUAGAAGAAGCAAAAGAUCAUGCAUAUUUUUUCUGUGUUCUUCCUUCUAUGGUAAAAAUGGCUGAAACAGAUGUGGAAAAGAAUACGGUCACAAACUAGAAUGGAUUCCUUGAUCAGCAAAUAAUAUUUAAAGAUGCACAGAAAACAUGGUUGAAGGUUAGAAGAAAUGUGUACAGACGAAUUAUACUGAGUGGGAGGUUUGUUAUGCUUUGGGGUGAAAGUACAGAUGUCUGAGUUAAUGGUAUUACUAGGUUAUUUUUCAAUAAUGAACUUUGUAAGAACAAAGUGUGUGUGUGUGUGUGUGUGAGAGAGAGAGAGAGAGAGAGAGAGAGAGUCACUAAUGGAAUGAGGCACUAAGAAGAUGUAUUCUCCAUAGAAAAUGGCUUCUUGAAAACUUAGUGAAUGUUAGCACCAAAGGAACAAGUGGUUUGAUUGGAGGAAAAAAGGAUUUGCAAGUCAGGCUACAGAUUUGCCCCAUGUGUGAAAUUCUUUAAUUCAUUUGUCCUAAGCAAGAUAUUGCAGCAAAGAAAUGAAAGCCAAAUGAGUGCCUGUGUGGCUCAGUCAGUUAGUAGACAGACUCUUGAUUUUGACUCAAGUCAUGAUCUCACUGCGGUGGACUCAAGCCCCAAGUUGGGCCAGAUGCUGAGGGGCCUGCUUGGGAUUCUCUCUCUCCCUCUGUCUUUGCCCCUCCACUGCUCAUGCUUGCUCACACUCUCUCUCAAAAUAAAUAAAUAAAUAAACGGCAAUCCCUAUCAAAAUAACACCAGCAUUUUUCACAGAGCUAGAAAAAACAACCCUAAAAUUUGUAUGGAAUCAGAAAAGAUCCCAAAUAGUCAAAGCAAUCUUGAAAAAGAAAACCAAAGCCGGAGGCAUCACAAUCCCGGACUUCAAGCUGUAUUACAAAGCUGUAAUCAUCAAGACAGUAUGGUACUGACACAGAAACAGAUGCUCAGAUCUAUGAAACAGAAUAGAGAACCCAGAAAUGGGCCCACAAAUGUAUGGCCAACUAAUCUUUGACAAAACAGGAAGAAAUAUCUAAUGGAAUAAAGACAAUCUUUUCAGCAAGUGGUGCUGGGAAAACAGGACAGCAACAUGCAGAAAAAUGAACCUGGAACACUUUAUUACACUACACACAAAAAUAAACUCAAAAUGGAUGAAAGUAAACAUAAGACAGAAAGCCAUCAAAAUCCUCGAGGAGAAAGCAAGCAAAAACCUCUUUGACCUCGGCCACAGAAACUUCUUACUCAACACGUCUCCGGAGGCAAGGGGCACAAAGGCAAAAAUGAUCUACUGGAACCUUAUCAAAAGAAAAAUCUUCUGCACAGUGAAGGAAACAAUUGGCAAAACAAAAAGGCAACCAGUGGAAUGGGAGAGGAUACUUGAAAACAACAUAUCAGAUAAAGGAAUAAAGGACUAGUAUCCAAAAUCUAUAAAGAACUGACAAACUCAACACCCAAAAAACAAAUAAUCCAGUGAAGAAAUGGGCAAAAGACAUGAAUAUAUAUACUUCUCCAAAGACAUCCAGAUGGCCAACCGACACAUGAAAAAAUGCUCCAUAUCACUCAUCAUCAGGGAAAUACAAAUCAAAACCACAAUGAGAUACUACCUCACACCUGUCACAAUGGCUAACAUCAACAACUCAGGCAACAACAGAUGUUGGUGAGGAUGCGGAGAAAGAGGAUCUCUUUUGCACUACUGGUGGGAAUGCAAACUGGUGCAGCCACUCUGGAAAACAGUAUGGAGGUUCCUCAAAAAAUUAAAAAUAGAACUAUCCUACAACCCAGCAAUUCCACUACCAGGUAUUUAUCCAAGGGAUACAGGUGUGCUGUUUUGAAAGAGCACAUGCACCCCAAUGUUUAUAACAAUAUUGACAAUACCCAAAGUACGGAAAGAUCCCACAUGUCCAUUGAUGGAUGAGUGGAUAAAGAUGUGGUAUAUAUAUGCAAUGGAGAAUUACUCAGCAAUCAAAAAGAAUGAAAUCUUGCCAUCUGCAACUAUGUGGAUGGAACUAGAGGGUAUUAUGCAGAGCAAAAUUAGAGAAAGACAAAUAGCAUAUGACUUCACUCAUGAGGGAUUUAAAAUACAAAACAGAUGAACACAAGGGAAGAGAAGCAAAAAUAAUAUACAAAAAGGAGGAAGACAAAACAUAAGAGACUCUUAAAUAUAGAGAACAAGCAGAGGGUUGCUGGAGGGGUUGAGGGAGGAGGGGAUGGACUAAAUGGGUAAGGGGCUUAAGGAAUCUACUCCAGAAAUCAUUGUUGCACCAUGUGCUAACUAACUUGGAUGAUAAAUAAACAAACAAACAAAAACACAAACUUACAAAGAAAUAGAAGUCAGAAUUUCAUAGGGCAAUACUCUCAAACCUGAACGUGUGUGUGAGCCACCUGAGGUCUUGUAAAAUGUAGAUUUUGAUCCAGUCGUCCUAACCUGUCCUGGAUUCUGCAUUUCUAACCAGCUUCAGGUGAUGCUGCUGCUGCUGGUCAAUGUACCACACUUCGAGUAGUGAGACCAUACAGAAACAGAGAAUGUAAGGGUUGGUAUUAAUUUUACAAAAAUGAGAUCAUCUGCAAUGUAGUAAAAUAUUUCUUUUGUAAUGACACGUGGAGUGAUCAUGCAAAUCAUUUGUACUGUGGAGAGGUUUGCUGGUUAUCUUGUGGCAAAGUCCUUAAGAGUGGUCAUACAGGAGGUUGUGUUUUUGCAAAAAUGCAAUUUUGUGUUUUGCUGCUGGUUGUGUUUUUGCAAAAAUUCAAUUUUGUCAAAUUUCUGAUCUUUUAAAUAAUGUCAAAUAACGAUUAGAUUUCUACCUAACAAGUAGAAUACAUACAUAUGUAAUACACACACACACACACACACACACACACACACACACCUAAUCUGUUCCUCAAUGUAAAAGUGGCAAUUUAAUAAUGAGUGAGAAAGUAACCGACCUUCAGAAGAAGCUGGUGCUAUAGAGAAACCAUUGUUUUCAUCAUUAUGUGACAUUGUUGAACACGACAUAGGCACCACCUAUGACAUCUUUCAUGUCUUCACACUAAGACACUGGAUUUUCUAGCAUUUAAAAAUCAAUCACACAAUCUUGAACACAUUUUACAAAAAUAUAAAAACAUAGCUAUAUUCCAUCAGUGUCCCUUCUGAUUCAUUCAUAAGAAAAUUAGGUUGAGAUCAGAAAACACAGAAAGGUAUUAGCUGAAUUUCCACAAAACAUUUGCAUAAUUGGUGAACAUGACUGAGCAAAGAAUACCAUGAUUUAGUAAGAGAGGCUGAUGGUGCAAGCCUUCCAUUUUGAUCUAUCAAGUGUGUUUUUUACCUCAGACAGCAAUUAAAACCUAGUAAGAAAACAAACCAAACUUAGGACGAAACCAUUGAAUGAUUGUAUCACAAAGUCCUAAACCAAGAUUUUAAAACAGAAAGUUGCAUACUGAACUGCAUUGUUCCCACAAAGAAUAUUAACAAUAUGUAAAAGAUUUUAGUGAGAGUAAAUAUUGCCAAUAAUAAAAUAAUUACUUAAAAGUAUUACUU